rnacentral:rRNA from 1 species
AGAGUUUGAUCAUGGCUCAGGACGAACGCUGGCGGCGUGCCUAACACAUGCAAGUCGAACGGGACCGGGGGCAACUUCGGUUCAGUGGCGGACGGGUGCGUAACACGUGAGGAACAUGACCUUCGGCGGGGGAUAGCCGGCCCAACGGCCGGGUAAUACCGCGUACGACCAUUCGGGGACAUCCCUGGGUGGUGAAAGCAGCAAUGCGCCGAUGGAGUGCCUCGCGGCCUAUCAGCUAGUUGGUGAGGUAACGGCUCACCAAGGCAACGACGGGUAGCUGGUCUGAGAGGAUGGCCAGCCACAUUGGGACUGAGACACGGCCCAGACUCCUACGGGAGGCAGCAGUGGGGAAUAUUGCGCAAUGGACGAAAGUCUGACGCAGCGACGCCGCGUGUGGGAUGAUGGUCUUCGGAUUGUAAACCACUGUCGGGAGGGACGAAUACGCCGCAAGGCGGGUGACGGUACCUCCAAAGGAAGCACCGGCUAACUCCGUGCCAGCAGCCGCGGUAAUACGGAGGGUGCGAGCGUUGUCCGGAAUCACUGGGCGUAAAGGGCGCGUAGGCGGCCUGAUAAGUAGGGGGUGAAAUCCUGCGGCUUAACCGCAGGGCUGCCUUCUAAACUGUCAGGCUCGAGCACAGUAGAGGCAGGUGGAAUUCCCGGUGUAGCGGUGGAAUGCGUAGAGAUCGGGAAGAACAUCAGUGGCGAAGGCGGCCUGCUGGGCUGUUGCUGACGCUGAGGCGCGACAGCGUGGGGAGCAAACAGGAUUAGAUACCCUAGUAGUCC